AUCUACAGCUAUGCCACCCUGAACAAGCCUGAUUCUGUCUGGGCUCAGAAGCUAAGCGGGGUUGGGCCUGUUUAGUACUUGGAUGGGAGACCACCUAGGGAGACCAGGUGCUGUAGGCA
rnacentral:rRNA from 1 species